AAGUCGUAACAAGGUUUCCGUAGGUGAACCUGCGGAAGGAUCAUUAAAAGUUGUUCGAGGCGGCCCCAGGCAUCGCCCAGGUGGCCGCUUAGACAUCAACACCCUCUGUAUAUCUACCGCGUUGCUUUGGCGGGACGGCAGCCAGCAGCCCCGCUGGGAAGCUGUCCGUAGGGCUCUGUCCAAGGGCCCCGCGAGCGCCCGCCAGAGAACCGUCAAACUCAUGUUAAACCGUGGUGUCUGAGCUUUACCAAGCAAUAAGUUAAAACUUUCAACAACGGAUCUCUUGGUUCUC
rnacentral:misc_RNA from 1 species